UGCAGUCGAGCGGAAAGGCCCUUCGGGGUACACGAGCGGCGAACGGGUGAGUAACACGUGGGUCAUCUGCCUUGCACUCUGGGAUAACCCUGGGAAACUGGGUCUAAUACCGGAUAUGACUUCCGACUGCAUGGUCGGGAGUGGAAAGAUUUAUCGGUGCAAGAUGAGUCCGCGGCCUAUCACUUGGUGGGGGGGGGAAGGGCCUACCAAGGCAACAACGGGUAGCCGGCCUGAAAGGGCAACCGGCCACCCUGGGACUGAAACACGGCCCAAAUUCCUACGGGAGGCACCAGGGGGAAAUAUUGCACAUGGGGGGAAAGCCUGAUGCACCGACCCCGCGUGAGGAAUGACGGCCUUCGGGUUGUAAACCUCUUUCGACUCCGACAAACCGAAAGUGACGGUAGGAGUAUAAGAAGCACCGGCCAACUACGUGCCAGCAGCCGCGGUAAUACGUAGGGUGCGAGCGUUGUCCGGAAUUACUGGGCGUAAAGAGCUUGUAGGCGGUCUGUCGCGUCUUCUGUGAAAACUUGAGGCUCAACCUUAAGCUUGCAGGC
rnacentral:rRNA from 1 species